GCGGAUGGCUGGAUGACCGCGGCGGCUCAUAGCUCUGCACCUGCGGAUAGCUGGGCCGUCGAGGAAAGUCCGGACUCCAUGAAGCAACGGUGCCGGGUAACGCCCGGCGGGGGCAACCCCAGGGAAAGCGCCACAGAGAACAGACCGCCCUGCCUUGUGCAGGGUCAGGGUGAAACGGUGGGGUAAGAGCCCACCGCGGACCUGGCAACAGGGACGGCACGGCAAGCCCCACCGGGAGCAACGCCGAAUAGGGACUGCGCGCCGCGUGCGGCAGGGGAGCUUCGCCCCGAGCAGUCCGGGUUGGCGGCUAGAUCCUGCGGGCAACCGCAGGGCCAGAGGAAUGGUCAUCCAGGGGGCAACCCCGGACAAAAUCCGGCUUACAGGCCAUCCGUGCAA
rnacentral:RNase_P_RNA from 2 species